rnacentral:rRNA from 1 species
CGGAGGGUGCAAGCGUUAUCCGGAUUUACUGGGUUUAAAGGGUGCGUAGGCGGGCUGAUAAGUCUGUGGUGAAAUCUCCGAGCUUAACUCGGAAACUGCCAUGGAUACUAUUGGUCUUGAAUGUCGUUGAGGUUAGCGGAAUAUGUCAUGUAGCGGUGAAAUGCUUAGAUAUGACAUAGAACACCUAUUGCGAAGGCAGCUGACUAACGAAUAUUGACGCUGAGGCACGAAAGCGUGGGAUCAAACAGGAUU